UGUUUCUGUUUCAUUUCUGUUUCUCUUUGUCUUUGUACAUUUUCUGAUCAGUGUUGGAAACUUUCUGAUGUAUGUUGUAUCAUGCCUUCAGUAGCAUGUUCAAUCAUAUCAACAGUUUAACACUUUCAUUUAGAUAUUUUACUUAUGGAGCUUAUUUGUCUAAUACCCUUUUUUCUGUUAUUGAUACAUUAUGGUCAUGCCUAUACCACUUGUCUUCAUUGCAUGUGUCUUGGAUUGCUGUUUGACAGUGUUUUGAUUAAUUGCAGGAUUCUUGGAAAACCACACUUCUGUUGAGAGCGAAGAAUGCACUGAAAGCAAAGGAGGAAGAAGAUGAUCUGACUUGAGGCCCAUAAAUUUCAUUGCUUAUUCUUUAUUUUGUCUAUACUUACUGGAUGGUGGCUUUUGGUCUGUGCAUGUAAACGAGUUUGGAUAUAUGAGGAUACGCUAUGCUUUUCAGCCGUGUUAAUGAGUCUGUUGCUCCUGGAGUUCCUGUUUUCCACCUCGAUCAUCAGAAUACCUGAAUGUCUGUAAUAAAUAGUUGGUGUUUGUUUUUUAUUUUAAGGUUGCGUCACAAACAAUAGUGCAAUAUAGUAUAAUUGGGCAGCUUCCCUCCUCAUUAAGGAUAGCAAUGCUAAACCAUUUAAUCCGUUUAACUAAUUUAACCCAUUGUAGAUUAUGCUAGAUUAUCUAUUUAAUAAAAUAGUUAACUUUGGAUAUAGAUUUUUGACUCGUUUAAUAAAUAGGUUGGUUGGACUAAUUAUUAAUCUAUCAUUUAUCUGACCUAAAUUGUAUCUUGUUUGAUCCGACCUGAUUGCCACCACUGCAUGAAAAG
rnacentral:lncRNA from 1 species